rnacentral:lncRNA from 1 species
CUUCAGAUGUGGAAUUCUUGGCUUUUCUUGGCCGUCUUCCUGGUAUCUCAGAAGUAUUGUGGGAGCAAGGAGGGUGCAAUCUUGGACUGGAAUGCCAAAGCGAGACACUGAGAUCAGGUGGUCAGAGUUCUUCCAGAAUCCUAAGAGCAUUCUCAACACUAGCCCAGGCCUGCUGUACUUCAACAUGAAGUCCUUUCAGUCAUCACUGAGCCCCACACCGGCGCUGACAUGUGAGGGACCGUCAAGCUCACCUCAUGGAAGAGAAACUGAGUUUUAGAGAAGUGGACUAAACACAGAGGCUCACCCUGCGAGCGCCAGAAGCCAAUUCACACUUCCCAAAGCUGGUGACAGGAAAAAGCCGUUAUUGUUGUCUUCCCAGAACUUGUGUUGCUGCUGGGG